UACGUAGGGUGCAAGCGUUGUCCGGAAUUAUUGGGCGUAAAGAGCUCGUAGGUGGCGGGUCACGUCGGGUGUGAAAGCCCGGGGCUUAACCCCGGGUCUGCAUUCGAUACGGGCCUGCUAGGGUCCGGCAGGGGAGACUGGAAUUCCUGGUGUAGCGGUGAAAUGCGCAGAUAUCAGGAGGAACACCGGUGGCGAAGGCGGGUCUCUGGGCCGGUACCGACGCUGAGGAGCGAAGGCGUGGGGAGCGAACAGG
rnacentral:rRNA from 1 species